AUACAGAGGGUGCGAGCGUUAAUGGGAAUUACUGGGCGUAAAGCGCGCGUAGGCGGCUGAUUAAGUCAGAUGUGAAAUCCCAGGGCUCAACCUUGGAGCUGCAUCUGAUACUGGUCAGCUAGAGUUUAGGAGAGGGAAGUAGAAUUUCAGGUGUAGCGGUGAAAUGCAUAGAUAUCUGAAGGAAUACCAGUGGCGAAGGCGGCUUCCUGGCCUAAAACUGACGCUGAGGUGCGAAAGCGUGGGUAGCAAACGGGAUUAGAAACCCGUGUAGUCC
rnacentral:rRNA from 1 species